rnacentral:rRNA from 1 species
AAACAAUUAUGGUUUACUUGAUAAUAAUUUUUACAUGGAUAACCGUGGUAAUUCUACAGCUAAUACAUGAGCAAAAUCUCAACUUUAUUAGAAGAGACGCAUUUAUUAGAUAAAAAGCCAGUUCAUGCUUUUACAGUAUGAAAAUUGGUGAUUUAUAAUAACUUAGCAAAUCGCAAAGUGAAAACAGGCGAUAAAUCAUUCAAGUUUCUGACNUAUCAGCUUUC